GCUUUGACCAUUUAUUUUGCACUUGCUCUCUCUUUGGAUAAAUCCCUUUUCAGAUUUCCUCUCCUCUCUCUAUUCAUCAUCUUCCUCACCGGCCAGGCCAAGGUCCUCCAGACCCCACCUCCACCAGCCCCGCCCUGCCGGAGCUCAUCUUGCCCGAUCCCCCACUCCUCCAACAUCCCAGCUCUCGUAUGAGCUCCUCUGUACCCGCCGAUGGCGCAUAUCAGCCGCAGGUCAUGCAAGGGCCCCCGAUCCCUCCCUCGCCGUCCUUCGUCUGCUCCCGCUCGCCGGCCGUCAUCUUUCCGGCACGUCCGCGCGGCUGCUACACCUCCAGGCACGCCGCCGCCGACACAAGGAGGAGGCCUCCCGUUGCUCUCCCUGGACGGCAGCGACCAUGCUGCAGGGACGACGUGUUGCUGCUGCUACUCACCGACGCUCCGCCUCCACCGCAGCAUGUCGGUUAGGUUCAGGACCUGGUACUAGCAGAUGGACGGCGGGGCAAGGAUGAGCGGAGGUGGGUUCAGCUGGAGCACGUUCUGGAUGGGCGACGUCAUGAGUUUCCGACUCGAAAAGAAUCAUGGAAUGGCUGACGCCAUCGACCGCGGCCAAAUCAGCGUGCAGGUUCUGGUUCAUGCAGUUGCAAUACAAAACAUAAUAGCAUAAAUUCUCUUUAAUUUAGGCACACUACAAAACAUAAGUAAAGUUAAUAGUUAUUCACUGGAUUUUAGCCUGUAUUUUAACAUGACUAAUGCAAUACAUUUAGGUUUCUACUAAUUUUGUUUGAACCUUGUGAGUUCAAUCUUAUAUGGUUUGUGAAACUAAGGCUAGAUUUGCUCUGCUCUGCUGUUUUUUUUUUUUUUUUUUUUUUGCUUUUGAUAUUACCUUUUUCUUUAUCUCUGGAAUGAGUAGUUGCGAGCCAUGUGGAAUCAACCGGUGCCAUCUUCAAUUUUGUAGCAGAUUUUCCAUUCUCAAGUUUUUUUUUUGAGAAAGCUAUCUACCUGUAAAUAUAUGACAUAAUGAACAUGGAAAAUAAAAUAGAAGAAGCCGUUAGUCAUGUUGUAUGUUGGUGUCACGCACACUCUAAUUAUAUAUCAGUUGUAUGUCCAUUCUUGCUGCUUUUUCGUCACAUUUAACCAUUGCAAAUCCCUGUGCCUAGAUCUGUAUGUGACUGUUUGAUAUUUGUUUUCAUUCAUAUUCGCAUAUCUAGCUUUCACCAGAUGUUCCUUAUGUACAUACUCUCACAUAUGUCUAUUUGUUUGUAAAUGAAGUGCCAUCUACUGAAUAUUUGGUACUUCAAACAAAUUUUAAAAGCACGAGCCAUCGAGAACUCCCAAAUAUGCUUCCUCAUUGUUUAACUGAUUAUUAAAAUUUUCUCAGCCUUCAAAUGAUAUGGUUGCUUGGAUGUGUGAAAUUCGUCUCGGCAAUGGAAAUACGGUCAUGCAUUGGAUAAGGUAGCCAUUUAUUUACCAAUACCUAUAUUUUCUCAUUUACAAUUCUACGCCAGUAUUUUAUCACCUCAAGAAAAGGAUUAAAAAUACUUGUGAUGGCCAAAAAUGACGUGUCAACUAUUAAAACUAUAAAUAUUGUAUACCAGGAGGUAAUGGACUAUCUGUAAGAGUAUGCACAUCAGAGCAUAUCAUGGUUGCAGCCUUGCAGGUACAUUCAGUAACUUAGACAUGGCUUCAGGUAUAUCUGUGCUUUGCAUUUAGACAAUUAAAACAUUUCCUCAUUCUUUAUCCAGUGUUCAUCUAAUAUAGAGGAAUUUGGGCAGCUUACAUCUCCAACGUUGCACAUUUAUGUGAACAAACAUUUGUAUUAUGUCUUUUGUCUCAUCAAUUUUAUUGUAUGCCACUUCUAAACCAUGACACAUCUGUUAGUCUGUACACUUCUUUGUUAGUUUUUGGUCAACUUACCAAUAAAGUGGCGAGUAUUUUCCGUCAACUUACCAAUAAACAGCACACCAUGCUUUUGGUUAUUAGACAAAUUGUUCUUACUCUCUAUAUUAGAAAAUAAUAAUCAGAUCAUGUUUUAAGCUAAAUAAUAUUUUAGGCUAGGUUAUCCUAUAGACAUAUUGUUUUACUGUCCAGGUUGAGUAUCUCAAAAUAAACAUGAAAACGAUGCUUUGGGUUAAUUGCACAUAUUGUACUUACUGUCUAGGUUAGGAAAAUAAACAACAGACCAUGUUUUACGCUAAAUCAUAUUUUAUCCUAUGAUAUCCUAUAAUUAGACAUAUUGUUUUUACUAUCCAAGUUGAGUAGUCCGUUACCUGGUGCAUGUCUCGGAACAUUAACAUCAGGUCAUGUUUCAGGCUAAGUUAUUCUAUAAUCAGACAUAUUGUUCUUGUUGUCACUGGUAGAAAAAAUAAACAUUGGAUUAUGUUUUCGCUUAAAUUAUCCUUAAAUUGGGCAGAUUUAUAUUGCUGUCCAAGUUGAAUAGUUCGUUACAUGGUGCAAUUCAUUUACCAACUCGCAGCAGGGCAUCAGUUAUAAUUAUCCUUGUGCUCUAAACAAUUUCUUAUUUGUUUUUCUGCUCUCCUUUCAGGUCAUGCCUUGCAGGUUCCUAUCUGAAAGACAGUGUUUUGUCAAGAAAGUUAGGCUACGCGCAAUCCCUUUGGUUCUUUAAUGCUAGCCCCUGGGAGUGGAAUCCACAGUGUAUUGAGAAUAGGCAAGCAAAGAGAGCAAGAUCCAAAACACAUGUCGCCUUAGCCUCGCAGGCUUUGCAAGCUACUUUUCUGAUCCUCGCUGGGAAUUAAGUGGAUAACAAUGACAGAUCACCAGAAAAUGAAUUAGCUCUUUCAACUUUCAGGUUUGGAAUUCACCAUUGCCACUGAAGUGGCUGCUAUUGAAGUUCUACUACCUUCACAGUAAAAUAAGACGCUGGAAAAUCAUGAAAAUGACAGAAAUCUGAUGAGAAUUAUUUCAAGGUAUAUCCCCCCUUUUGCCAUAUUUUCUUGACUGGUAAUCCAUCAUGUUAGAGGUUAAUGGUAGUUUUCCCAACGAAGGGGAAUUUGCAAUGAAUGCAAAUGCUGGUAAAAUUAGGCAGCCAGUGUAAAUUGUAUAAUUCAUGAUCAGUUUAAAUUUUAACUUGUGUGUUGUUGCCUGUGGAGGUCUAUUACUUCUUUUGGCCUCGACCGUCAUUUUCUUGACGCUGGUAAUCCAUCAUGUUAGAGGUUAAUGGUAGUUUUCCCAAUGAAGGGGAAUUUGCAAUGUUAGAGGUUAAUGGUAGUUUUCCCAAUGAAGGGGAAUUUGCAAUGAAUGCAAAUGCUGGUAAAAUUAGGCAGCCAAUGCAAAUUGUAUAAUUCAUGAUCAGUUUAAUUUUUAACUUGUGUGUUGUUGCCUGUGGAGAUCUAUUACUUCUUUUGGCAUCGACCGUAUCUUCCAAGCUUACAGCAUUAUAAGCUACCAUGUGCUCAAAAUUUCACAAUACUGAGUUUGGUAAGUAGUAUUUGUUCCAGAAGAAUCAUACAUAUAUCAGAUGUAAAAAUAGAAAGUAUUUCGAAACAUAAAUACAUGUACAAUCUCUUGAAGUACUCCGGUAUGUGAAUGAUAUAAUACUGUUAAAAGUGAAAUAUGUUAGAGAGGAGCGAAUAAUUAACUGUGUGGUUCCGAUGAUCUGUUAAUAGAAGAAUCCGGAUGACACCAGCCAGGGCCCUCGAAAGGCAAUCCCUGGAUAGAAGACCAUUUAGCCACAAUAUCUGUUGGUCCUCAGGUACAGCCAACAGCAUCAUCAUUCUCUCCUCUGACAAAGACAACGCCGGCGAGACUUCACCGUGCAAGGGGAAGGAAUUAUUAGAGCACGUACCUACUGCCUAGGCAAGGUGGUCUACACUACUGUUCAAAUUCAAUUUUCUGCAUGUGUAUUUUGGUCCAUCAUCAGUUAUGUGGUUAGUGUUCUGCAUCCUAUUAGUGUCCAUCGCUCAACUAGCUAUGUAAUGGAAUCUGAAGUAAUAUGUGCAGUGAUGUUUCCUAUUCCAUGGA